rnacentral:RNase_P_RNA from 2 species
AGUAAGCCGAACAGUCGCGCUUGUUAUGCAAGUGAGGAAAGUCCGGGCUUCACAGGGCAGGGCGCCGGUUAACGGCCGGCGGAGGCGACUCCAGGGAUAGUGCAACAGAAAUAAACCGCCCGCUUUCGCGGGUAAGGGUGGAAAGGUAAGGUAAGAGCUUACCGCUGUUCCGGCAACGGGACAGGCUCUGUAAACCCCGCCUGAAGCAAGGCCCGAGUAAAACCAUGGGAUUGCCCGUCCCGUUUUGACGCGGCCGCAUGAUGACAUUGGCGACAAUGUACCAAGAUAGAUGACUGUUUAAGACAGAACCCGGCUCAUAGACUUGCUCA